GGAGGAGUCGCCUAGUGGCCGAUGGCAGGGGCUUGCUAAGCCUCGCCCUUUACAGGGCACGUGGGUUCGAAUCCCACCUCCUCCGCCU
rnacentral:tRNA from 1 species